CAGUAGCCACGGUAAUACAGAGGGUGCAAGCGUUAAUCGGAAUUACUGGGCGUAAAGCGUGCGUAGGCGGUUUGUUAAGUCUGCUGUGAAAUCCCCGGGCUCAACCUGGGAAUGGCAGUGGAUACUGGCAAGCUAGAGUGUGUCAGAGGAUGGUGGAAUUCCCGGUGUAGCGGUGAAAUGCGUAGAGAUCGGGAGGAACAUCAGUGGCGAAGGCGGCCAUCUGGGACAACACUGACGCUGAGGCACGAAAGCGUGGGGAGCGAACAGGAUUAGAUACCCCUGUAGUCCCUGUCUCUUAUAC
rnacentral:rRNA from 1 species